AUUAUACUCCCUCCAUUCGGAAUUACUCGUCCAAGAAAUGAAUGUAUUUAGAUGUAUUUUAGUUAUAGAUACAUUCAUUUUUUUGACGAGUAAUUCCGAAUGGAGGGAGUACUAU
rnacentral:pre_miRNA from 1 species